rnacentral:rRNA from 1 species
UACGUAGGGUGCGAGCGUUGUCCGGAAUUAUUGGGCGUAAAGAGCUCGUAGGCGGUUUGUCGCGUCGACUGUGAAACCCAGGGCUUAACCCUGGGCUGGCUUCCGAUACGGGGCAGACUAGAGGUAUGCAGGGGAGAACGGAAUUCCUGGUGUAGCGGUGAAAUGCGCAGAUAUCAGGAGGAACACCGAUGGCGAAGGCAGGUCUGCUGGGCCACUACUGACGCUGGAGAAGCGGAAAGCAUGGGGAGCGAACAGG